rnacentral:rRNA from 1 species
CCUACGGGAGGCAGCAGUGCGGAAUAUUGGUCAAUGGACGAGAGUCUGAACCAGCCAAGUAGCGUGAAGGAUGACUGCCCUAUGGGUUGUAAACUUCUUUUAUAUGGGAAUAAAAUGUUCCACGUGUGGGAUUUUGUAUGUACCAUAUGAAUAAGGAUCGGCUAACUCCGUGCCAGCAGCCGCGGUAAUACGGAGGAUCCGAGCGUUAUCCGGAUUUAUUGGGUUUAAAGGGAGCGUAGGUGGAUUGUUAAGUCAGUUGUGAAAGUUUGCGGCUCAACCGUAAAAUUGCAGUUGAAACUGGCAGUCUUGAGUACAGUAGAGGUGGGCGGAAUUCGUGGUGUAGCGGUGAAAUGCUUAGAUAUCACGAAGAACUCCGAUUGCGAAGGCAGUUCACUGGACUGCAACUGACACUGAGGCUCGAAAGUGUGGGUAUCAAACAGGAUUAGAUACCCGUGUAGUC